GUGCUGUUUUCAGAACUUUACAUUUGUGAAUAAAGUAUUUUAAUAUGAGAAGUUAACAAUUUACAACAAAGUCUACACUUUUAUCCUCCAAAUGAACCCAAAUGAACUCCAAAUUUCAACAUGUCCCAAGUAAUGGAUGGAGACUAGAUAUUCUUUGUUUAAUCCAAUGACAUACUUCAGUCCAAAACGAAUUAACCAGAUAACAAUGGAGAAAUAAGUGUUCAACAGUUUCUACAUCAUUAUUACAGAAAUGACAUCUAUUAGAAUCCAUAUUAAAUCUUAAUCUCAGAAAUUCUUUAGCAGGAUAAAUAUCGUACAACAUUUUAAAGUGCACUUCUUUAUGUUUUGGUGGAAGAGGAAAUAACAAAUAUUUGCAUCUAAAUUCAUUAACUAAUUUCCUAUUUAGAUGUUGAUCUAUAUGUUAUAUGUUAGCAUGUUAAGGAAUACGUGACCAGGCGGUUUCUGAAGCAGCGCUUCGAAACAAAAGAGUCAAAUGUUUCGAAGCUUCAUGAAUCAUGAUUCGGUGAUUCCCGGAGCCACCGCUGGCGGCAGUAGUGCGCUGCUGAGGCUCUGGCUGAAAUAAACACAGAAGAAGUCGCAUUCCGUCCGUCCACGUGCGAGUCGAGCAGCGUGAGGCUCGAGGAUCGGCAGCAACAAGGACAGGAGUCACGUGGAGGAUUCAUCUCAGCACGUGCUCUGCUUGUGCGCCUAAUGAUCAAUAAUGAGAUUCGGGGAAUAAGUUCUUCUUGUGUUUGUCUGUUAUGGUGUGAGACUUGCAUUUUGUAGUUCUGUUCUGUGGAAUCCAGUAAAUUAGGUUUUUUACAGUCUUUCUGUAAUCGGGUUGCUCGGAUGCUUCAUGCAAUCAGUGCAAAAACCUGUAAAUAUUGUCUAGUUUUAAAAUAAUAAUAAUAAAGACAUUCUGGCUGACGUUA